rnacentral:rRNA from 1 species
CGAACGCUGGCGGCGUGCCUACUACAUGCAAGUUGAGCGCUGAAGGUUGGUACUUGUACCGACUGGAUGAGCAGCGAACGGGUGAGUAACGCGUGGGGAAUCUGCCUUUGAGCGGGGGACAACAUUUGGAAACGAACGCUAAUACCGCAUAAAAACUUUAAACACAAGUUUUAAGUUUGAAAGAUGCAAUUGCAUCACUCAAAGAUGAUCCCGCGUUGUAUUAGCUAGUUGGUGAGGUAAAGGCUCACCAAGGCGAUGAUACAUAGCCGACCUGAGAGGGUGAUCGGCCACAUUGGGACUGAGACACGGCCCAAACUCCUACGGGAGGCAGCAGUAGGGAAUCUUCGGCAAUGGACGAAAGUCUGACCGAGCAACGCCGCGUGAGUGAAGAAGGUUUUCGGAUCGUAAAACUCUGUUGGUAGAGAAGAACGUUGGUGAGAGUGGAAAGCUCAUCAAGUGACGGUAACUACCCAGAAAGGGACGGCUAACUACGUG